rnacentral:tRNA from 1 species
CCCCUGGUGUCUCAAAUGGUAAAGAAUCUGCCUGCAAUGCAGGAGACCCUAGUUCUAUUCUUGGGUAGGGAA